AACGAACGCUGGCGGCAUGCCUAACACAUGCAAGUCGAACGAGACCUUCGGGUCUAGUGGCGCACGGGUGCGUAACGCGUGGGAACCUGCCCUUAGGUUCGGAAUAACUCCCCGAAAGGGGUGCUAAUACCGGAUAAUGUCUUCGGACCAAAGAUUUAUCGCCUUUGGAUGGGCCCGCGUUGGAUUAGCUAGUUGGUAGGGUAAACGCCUACCAAGGCGACGAUCCAUAGCUGGUCUGAGAGGAUGAUCAGCCACACUGGGACUGAGACACGGCCCAGACUCUUACGGGAGGCAGCAGUGGGGAAUAUUGGAAAAUGGGCGAAAGCCUGAUCCAGCAAUGCCGCGUGAGUGAUGAAGGCCUUAGGGUUGUAAAGCGCUUUUAACCGGGAUGAUAAUGACAGUACCGGGAGAAUAAGCUCCGGCUAACUCCGUG
rnacentral:rRNA from 1 species